UGCUCUUUGGCCAGAGAAUUGUUUUUUUGGGUGCCAUCUAUCUCUUCUCUCUAUUUUCUUUCAAUUUGCUUCAAUUCUCUAAUACGCUUCCUUUAGAUUACAUAUGGAAGGUUGAAUACUAAUUCAAUAAUUGGAAGUUUGUUUAGGAAAUUAUGGAACCGUUUCCAAUUCUAUCGCCUAUUUACAAAUUAUUGCUCUUAAUCGGAUGUUUCAAUCGAUCACUGAAGAAUCGUGCUCUGUUUUAUGUUCAUCAUCAGACUUCCAAAAUACAAGGAUCAGUAAGCUGUAUUCCACCUCUAUUGGAGAUUUGACUUGUGCACGGAAGGUUAAGAUGGGGUUUGAUUCUGACGUGGUUUUGGAAAUUGGGUUGCUUGAAAAUGACCUCGACAUACCUGGCUGUGCUUGGAAUUGGUAUUUGUAUUUUAAUUAGAAUUCAUCAAGAGAUGAAAUCUGUCGAGUGUUAAGAGUCUACAAGGUUCAAGAAGAAAGUGGAGAGAUGAUUUGGUGUUAGACGAUAGUUGAUAAGGUUAUGGUGGGGGUGAGUGUCUUAUUAAUAUUGACUGGUUGUGAAAUUUCAAGAUCUUAAAGAGAUUGGACGCAAGGCGCUGUGAAGGUAUUCUUGAGCAUCAUUUAUUUAGAUAAAAACAUAGCUUUAUUUUAGGUUCUUUUUGUCAACUUUAUCUGUUCUUACGUUUGAUUUUUGCUAUAAUAUAGUGGAUGUUUAUAGUUAUUACAGGUAACUUUCAUCUAAUCUUAUUUGGUAAGGUACCAAAUAAGACCAUUUAGGACAAUAUUUACCCAUUUGGAGAUCGAUUCAUAUGCGCAUUGAAAGGAUGUUAACAAUGUCAACCGUCGUAGCUUCACUCCGUUGUUACAAUUUCAACCAUCGUACCAUUUAAGUCAAGUGACCCCAUAAUUUAUUUUUGGGAACUUGAAAUAUAAUGUCUAGCAUCUAAUGUUCUUCAAACAACUGCAAUGAGCAUUAAAACGACUUAUCAUUGUUGGUCCAAAACAACUGAUGAUUGAUUGAUGCAAAAAACUACCAAUGGUGACAAGAAAAAUAAAUAGAUGAUGCACUUACUAACAGCUGAUUUGAUCUACACCUGUGGUGACUGGGCUGUGUUUCUGAUGGCAUCAGGGUGGGAACUCUUAGCCAUUGUACAUCAACAGAUGACAGUUACUACGGUUUGAGUGAAGUAUUCGGGACAGCUUGGAGAUGACUCAAGGCACGAGUUAACUGGUCAAACUUAGCCCACUAAGUCAGCUCGGUCUACGGCGUGUGUUAGUGGGUGCAGAUUCUAAAGCCAACGCGAGGGAAGGCCACAAAUGCAAAUGUUGCUGCAUGGAUAUGGUUACACAUCUGUAACACCUGCAGAUGGAGAUGGUUGUUGGGAUUUUGAUAGAGUCAUCAUGGUUGGAGAUGUGAGCUAGACACCAAGAUAUAUAUAAAAAGGUGGAGGGUGCCACUAUGAUUCAUGUGUGUUGCUUUGAAUGUUGAGAAGCCUAGAGAUCAUGGAUUUGUCAAAGCUUAACAGAGAUCCUUCAAGGUUUUUUUUUAUGUGAGUGGUAAUGCUCUUGAUAGUUGCCUUAAGUCAGAGAACUGUGUAGCAAUAGAACCAUGGAAAUGUGAACUUGAAGACACAACACUUCUAGAUCUUAUACCGUUUCUUGAAUGAUUUAUGAUGAUCCAGGAGAAGGCGGGAGCAGAAGAAACAAGGUCGUCUGUGGCGUUUUUUAUGUGAUGGUUUCUAGAAAAGAUGCAGAUAAGUAAAUCUGUUACAUAGAUUUGAGAUUGAAUAUGAUUACAACUAUAAAGAUUGUUAGUUGGUUUAACUUUUAGAUCAUGUCAUGAAGAGUAGAAAACCUUUAUUUAUAAUAUAACACCAAAUGUCAACCACUAAAAUUGACUAACAACACAAACUCAAUUUGUAACAUCAUUUGAUCUUCUGCAACGUUAAAAUUCACUCGAAACACAUUAUUUUUCGUCUAAAACACUUAACUUUGUUAUGAAACACUUGACUUAUUUGUUCAUAUGAAAUUUCGUAGUUCGUAUAGCAUUGUCUAAAUUUGAUGUUUUAUUGAUUGUUAGAGUUAUAAUUUAAUAAUUUUUAAUUGUUAAACUUAGAAUCGAGUAAUUGUUAAUGGUUUUGACUUUUAAAUUUGGGUUUUAUUUUUCCAAGCGUAGCAAAUGGUUUGGUUUACGAUUAUUGGAAAACCAUCCUUAUAAAAACAGAAUUUUUUAUUUCGGCUUUUUUAAUCUUUCGGGUGAUGGGUUUUUGGAGUUGUAUCAAAGGGUAUGUGAUUAAAUUUUCGAUCUUUCAUAAUUUUAAUGUCCAGGUGAUGGGUUUAGAGUUGUAUAGAAGGGUAGGUGAUUAAAGUUUCGAUCUUUCAUUGUUAUAAUUUCCGGGUCACGGAUUUUAGAGUUGUGUCGCAGGGUAUGUGAUUAAAGUUUUGAUAUUUUGCUCUCUUAAUGUUCGGGUGAAGGAUUUUUGGAAUAGUAUUGAAGGGCAGGUACUUUAAUUUUAGAUCUUUCGUUAUUUGCAAGGGUGACAGGUUUUUUAGAGUUGUAUCAAAGGGUAGGUGCUCAACGUAUCGACCUUUCGUUAUUUUAUCAAAGCCCUGUGUUUUUUGGACUCUUAAAGAGUCGUUUUACUUAACUAUAGUGUAUUUUAACUUAUCAUUGGCAUUGGCAUUGAAAUUACAAAGUUUUAUACAGAAAAUGAGGGCUGGCGGGAAGAGAUAUUUUAAGACAGAAGACGAGUUUGGUUCCUUCAAGGCUAACCACAAUGGUCCCACAACUAAAACCACCUCCAUGCAAUCAGUUCACCCAAACCUACAAACAAUCCACACAUUCUCAGUUUGCUUUCUUUAUUUUAGCCUUCAUAUUCAACUCCAUGGGGCCAGGUGGUGUUAAACCAUGCUCUUUAGCAUCUGGUGCAUAUCAAAUUGACAAUAAAACCAAUGUGAACAAUGGAAGAGCCUUAGAAAGCUUUUUUGGUUGGUAUUAUGCUGCUUGUGCGACUGCAGUUCUAAUCGCUUUCACAGGUACUGUUUAUAUUCAAGAUCAUGCCAGAUGGAAGGUGGGUUUUGGACUUCCUGCAAUUCUUAUGUGUUUAUUAUAUCUAUAAACAUGAGGAAGUGUUUAACGAGUUGUAAUUUUUGUCUUAUUUAUUUCUUUCUUUCAAUUCGGUGUAACUAUAUAUUCAUGUUAGCAGUUCAACGUUUAUUCAACUAAAAGGUUUAUGUAAACGGUGUUAAAUAAUAUAUUUUAUUGUUGGUCCA